GGCUAAACUAGAUCAGUGGGAGAGCGCUUGACUCACAUUCAAGAGGUCGCAGGUUCAAUCCCUGCCGCGCCCACCA
rnacentral:tRNA from 1 species